rnacentral:rRNA from 1 species
UACGGGGGGGGCAAGCGUUGUUCGGAAUUACUGGGCGUAAAGGGCGUGUAGGUGGCCAACUAAGUCCGACGUGAAAUCCCCAGGCUUAACCUGGGAACUGCGUCGGAUACUGGAUGGCUUGAAUUCGGGAGAGGGAUGCAGAAUUCCAGGUGUAGCGGUGAAAUGCGUAGAUAUCUGGAGGAACACCGGUGGCGAAGGCGGCAUCCUGGACCGGUAUUGACGCUGAGGCGCGAAAGCCAGGGGAGCAAACGGG